AAUAAUAAUAAUAACACGGUGUCUCGUAGCUCCAUCGGUAGCUCACUCAGCUCACACACUGAGGUCCAGAGUUCGAGUCUCCUCCGGUUUGUGUAUCUUGCCUGGUGAAGGAUGUUGGAGGUGCGAGGCCGGGUGCUGGUGUACACCAUUGUCAGCUGCCCUCACUGUCUUGCUGCCAAGAAAACGCUGAAAGACCUCGGGGUUCCGUUCAUUGAUGUACCGGUUGAACGCUUUCCAGCCGUGAGGAGCUGG